rnacentral:rRNA from 1 species
AGCGAACGCUGGCGGCAGGCUUAACACAUGCAAGUCGAGCGGGCACUUCGGUGUCAGCGGCAGACGGGUGAGUAACACGUGGGAACGUACCCUUUGGUUCGGAAUAACGCUGGGAAACUAGCGCUAAUACCGGAUACGCCCUUUUGGGGAAAGGCUUGCUGCCGAAGGAUCGGCCCGAGUCUGAUUAGCUUGUUGGUGGGGUAAUGGCCUACCCAGGCGCCGAUCAGUAGCUGGUUUGAGAGGAUGAUCAGCCACACUGGGACUGAGACACGGCCCAGACUCCUACGGGAGGGAGCAGUGGGGAAUAGUGGACAAUGGGCGCAAGCCUGAUCCAGCCAUGCCGCGUGAGUGAUGAAGGCCUUAGGGUUGUAAAGCUCUUUUGUCCGGGACGAUAAUGACGUUACCGGAAGAAUAAGCCCCGGCUAACUUCGUG